GCUGGGGUAGCCUAACCUGGUAAGGCGCAGGUUUGCUAAACCUGUCCCGUAAGGGAUUGGGAGUUCAAAUCUCCCCCCUAGCG
rnacentral:tRNA from 1 species